rnacentral:lncRNA from 1 species
UUUUCAUUUUAAUGUUUUUUCAAUGUGAAUUUAUGAUUAAUAAUGACCUUUCAAUUAUUAUCUUUUGACAAGCAGUCAAUUCCUUGUUUCAACAUAUUUACUUAGUUAAGCUUUUUGUUUAUCUCUUGUACAUUGUGUAUAUAAGAGUUUCUGUUUUUUUUUUGUUAUUUUCAAAUCAAUUAAAAUAGAAGGUCAUUUUUGUUAGUGAAAAUAACAUGCAUUUCAGAAUUGUACUAUUUAAUGCCAUAAAAGCUGCAACACAUCAAAGAGAACAUCUAUAUGGAUGUGGGUUAUCUUAACAGUAUAAAUGUGAGAGAGAAUGAUUGUGUAAAUGAUUGUGCAAAUGUAGUUUAUUUAAGUUUAUUUCAUUGUAUUACAUUGUUUUGCUUGCUCUUGUGUAUAGACAAAAAUAUUGUAUCUCAAGUCAAUAUAACAUAAUGGAUAAUCAUAUAAAAAUUUUGUCAAUGAAUGUUAGGGGUCUUUUCUCUAGUGCUAAGAAAAGAUCUGAUGUCUUUAACUGGGCGAAAUCAAAAAAUAGUUCGAUUGUGUGUUUUCAAGAAACACACAGUACAAGAGAUAUUGAAACUU